rnacentral:rRNA from 1 species
AGUGAACGCUGGCGGUAGGCCUAACACAUGCAAGUCGAACGGCAGCACAGUAAGAGCUUGCUCUUACGGGUGGCGAGUGGCGGACGGGUGAGGAAUACAUCGGAAUCUACUUUUUCGUGGGGGAUAACGUAGGGAAACUUACGCUAAUACCGCAUACGACCUACGGGUGAAAGCAGGGGAUCUUCGGACCUUGCGCGAUUGAAUGAGCCGAUGUCGGAUUAGCUAGUUGGCGGGGUAAAGGCCCACCAAGGCGACGAUCCGUAGCUGGUCUGAGAGGAUGAUCAGCCACACUGGAACUGAGACACGGUCCAGACUCCUACGGGAGGCAGCAGUGGGGAAUAUUGGACAAAGGGCGCAAGCCUGAUCCAGCCAUACCGCGUGGGUGAAGAAGGCCUUCGGGUUGUAAAGCCCUUUUGUUGGGAAAGAAAAGCAGCAGGUUAAUACCCCGCUGUUCUGACGGUACCCAAAGAAUAAGCACCGGCUAACUUCGGG